rnacentral:rRNA from 1 species
AUUGAACGCUGGCGGCAGGCCUAACACAUGCAAGUCGAGCGGGGCGGCGGACGGGUGAGUAAUGCCUAGGAAUCUGCCUGGUCGUGGGGGAUAACGUCCGGCAACGGGCGCUAAUUCCUCAUACUCUCAGUUGAGCCUAGGUCGGAUUGGCUAGUUGGUGGGGUAAAGGACUACCAAGGCGACGAUCCGUAACUGGGCUGAGAGGAUGAUCAGUCACACUGGAACUGAGACACGGUCCAGACUCCGACGGGAGGCAGCAGUGGGGAAUAUUGGACAAUGGGCGAAAGCCUGAUGCAGCCAUGCCGCGUGUGUGAAGAAGGUCUUCGGAUUGUAAAGCACUUUAAGUUGGGAGGCGUUACCAACAGAAGAAGCACCGGCUAACUUCGUGCCAGCAGCCGCGGUAAUUC